AUUGCCUCAGUAACGGCGAGUGAAGCGGCAACAGCUCAAAUUUGAAAUCUGGCUCUUUCAGGGUCCGAGUUGUAAUUUGUAGAAGAUGCUUUGAGUGUGGCUCCGGUCUAAGUUCCUUGGAACAGGACGUCAUAGAGGGUGAGAAUCCCGUACGUGACUGGGUGCCUCCGCUCAUGUAAAGCUCUUUCGACGAGUCGAGUUGUUUGGGAAUGCAGCUCAAAAUGGGUGGUAAAUUUCAUCUAAAGCUAAAUAUUGGCCAGAGACCGAUAGCGCACAAGUAGAGUGAUCGAAAGAUGAAAAGCACUUUGGAAAGAGAGUUAAACAGUACGUGAAAUUGUUGAAAGGGAAGCGCUUGCAACCAGACUUGCAUGCAGUUGAUCAUCCGAGCUUUUGCCCGGUGCACUCGAUUGUAUUCAGGCCAGCAUCGGUUUCGGUGGGCGGAUAAAGGCCUUGGGAAUGUAGCUUCUUUCGGGGAGUGUUAUAGCCCUCGGUGCAAUGCGCCCUAUCGGGACCGAGGACCGCGCUUCGGCUAGGAUGCUGGCGUAAUGGUUGUAAGCGACCCGUCUUGAAACACGGACCAAGGAGUCUAACAUCUAUGCGAGUGUUUGGGUGUCAAACCCAUACGCGUAAUGAAAGUGAACGGAGGUGAGAACCCUUAAGGGUGCAUCAUCGACCGAUCCUGAUGUCUUCGGAUGGAUUUGAGUAAGAGCAUAGCUGUUGGGACCCGAAAGAUGGUGAACUAUGCCUGAAUAGGGUGAAGCCAGAGGAAACUCUGGUGGAGGCUCGCAGCGGUUCUGACGUGCAAAUCGAUCGUCAAAUUUGGGUAUAGGGGCGAAAGACUAAUCGAAC
rnacentral:rRNA from 1 species